GAUGAACGCUGGCGGUAUGCUUAACACAUGCAAGUCGAACGGUCACUUCGGUGAUAGUGGCGGACGGGUGAGUAACGCGUGAGAAUCUGUCUUCAGGUCGGGGACAACAGUUAGAAAUGACUACUAAUACCGGAUGUGCCUUUGGGUGAAAGAUUUAUUGCCUGACAAAGAGCUCGCGUCAGAUUAGCUAGUAGGUGGUGUAAGAGACUACCUAGGCUCCGAUCUGUAGCUGGUCUGAGAGGACGAUCAGCCACACUGGAACUGAGACACGGUCCAGACUCCUACGGGAGGCAGCAGUGGGGAAUGUUCCGCAAUGGGCGAAAGCCUGACGGAGCAAUACCGCGUGAGGGACGAAGGCUUUUGGGUCGUAAACCUCUUUUCUCAAGGAAGAUGAUGACGGUACUUGAGGAAUAAGCAUCGGCUAACUCUGUG
rnacentral:rRNA from 1 species